AUGGACUAUGGAAAAAGGCAGACAAAUGAACAUCCAGUCUUCCCAUCCAGGCAGACAAAUGAACAUCCAGUCUUCCCAUCCAGGCAGACAAAUGAACAUCCAGUCUUCCCAUCCAGGCAGACAAAUGAACAUCCAGUCUUCCCAUCCAGGCAGACAAAUGAACAUCCAGUCUUCCCAUCCAGGCAGACAAAUGAACAUCCAGGCUUCCCUCACACCAGGCCGACAGCACCCUGUGACCAUAUGGCCCCUGGAACCUUUCACACUCUGAAUCAUUUUGAAUCAUUUUGUAAGAGCCAAACAUCACUCUGAGGCAUUAGACAGUCCCCUUAAAGAAAAGCAUCAGCUCUGACAGCCGGGGAGGGACAGAG
rnacentral:lncRNA from 1 species